UACGGAGGAUCCAGGCGUUAUCCGGAUUUAUUGGGUUUAAAGGGUGCGUAGGCGGCUUAUUAAGUCAGGGGUGAAAGACGGUGGCUCAACCAUCGCAGUGCCCUUGAUACUGAUGAGCUUGAAUACACUUGAGGUAGGCGGAAUGUGACAAGUAGCGGUGAAAUGCAUAGAUAUGUCACAGAACACCAAUUGCGAAGGCAGCUUACUAAGGUGCAAUUGACGCUGAGGCACGAAAGCGUGGGGAUCAAACAGG
rnacentral:rRNA from 1 species